GUGGGGAAUUUUGGACAAUGGGCGCAAGCCUGAUCCAGCAAUGCCGCGUGCAGGAAGAAGGCCUUCGGGUUGUAAACUGCUUUUGUACGGAACGAAACGGUCCGGGUUAAUACCCUGGGCUAAUGACGGUACCGUAAGAAUAAGCACCGGCUAACUACGUGCCAGCAGCCGCGGUAAUACGUAGGGUGCAAGCGUUAAUCGGAAUUACUGGGCGUAAAGCGUGCGCAGGCGGUUUUGUAAGACAGGCGUGAAAUCCCCGGGCUCAAACUGGGAAUUGCGCUUGUGACUGCAAGGCUGGAGUGCGGCAGAGGGGGAUGGAAUUCCGCGUGUAGCAGUGAAAUGCGUAGAUAUGCGGAGGAACACCGAUGGCGAAGGCAAUCCCCUGGGCCUGCACUGACGCUCAUGCACGAAAGCGUGGGGAGCAAACAGGAUUAGAUACCCCAGUAGUCC
rnacentral:rRNA from 1 species